UGACCUUGAACUUCCUUCAAAACGAAUGCCGAUUUCCAAAGAAUCUAAAGAGGCAUCCCUGUCACGUGACAAUGACGUCAUCAAUGACUAACGCAAUCUGUCAUUGUUAUUGACACAAGGUGUGACAACACACUCACGAUGGCUCAUCGACUGGGACGUCGUCCUACGCCGCCCAUUAGAAGUUGUUGGCCUGAUGUAAUGCUCUCUCACAUCAGCAUCAUUACACAAGGAUGUAGUCCAUCAUACCAUUAACUGUACUUGCCAGACAUGAUAGGUUCAUGGGAAUAGUUCCCCUUUUCAUAGAAGCAAAUUGCUUUAUAUAUCUUGUUUAAGUGGCGUUUAGAAGCUGGUAUGAUGAAGAGGAACAGGUUUUAUGGAUUGUCAACUUUUUUUAUUGCAAUAGACGUGUAUGCAUCUGUACCGUCGCAGCUAUUGCAAUAAAGAAGUCGUCAGUUU